rnacentral:rRNA from 1 species
AACGAACGCUGGCGGCAGGCCUAACACGUGCAAGUCGAGCGCUCACCUUCGGGUGGGUGCGGCGCACGGGUGAGUAACACGUGGGAACCUACCUUGAAGUACGGAAUAACUGAGGGAAACUUCAGCUAAUACCGUAUACGCCCUACGGGGGAAAGAUUUAUCGCUUCAGGACGGGCCCGCGUUGGAUUAGCUAGUUGGUGAGGUAACGGCUAACCAAGGCAACGAUCCAUAGCUGAUUUGAGAGAAUGAUCAGCCACACUGGGACUGAGACACGGCCCAGACUCCUACGGGAGGCAGCAGUGGGGAAUAUUGGACAAUGGGCGCAAGCGUGAUCCAGCCGUGCCGCGUGAGUGAUGAAGGCCUUCGGGUUGUAAAGCUCUUUCAGAUGGGACGAUGAUGACGGUACCAUCAGAAGAAGCCCCGGCUAACUUCGUGCCAGCAGCCGCCAGUAACAC